rnacentral:rRNA from 1 species
UUGUAAUUUGGAGAGGAUGCUUUUGGCGCGGCGCCGUCCGAGUUCCUUGGAACAGGACGCCACAGAGGGUGAGAGCCCCGUACGGACGGACGCCUAGCCUCUACAAAGCUCCUUCGACGAGUCGAGUAGUUUGGGAAUGCUGCUCAAAAUGGGAGGUAAAUUUCUUCUAAAGCUAAAUACCGGCCAGAGACCGAUAGCGCACAAGUAGAGUGAUCGAAAGAUGAAAAGCACUUUGAAAAGAGGGUUAAAAAGUACGUGAAAUUGUUGAAAGGGAAGCGCCUGUGACCAGACUUGCGCCCCGUGGACCACCCGGCGUUCUCGCCGGUGCACUCCGCGGGGCGCAGGCCAGCAUCGGUUCUCCCAGGGGGACAAAGGCCGCGGGAACGUAGCUCCUUCGGGAGUGUUAUAGCCCGCGGCGGCAUGCCCCUGGGGGGACCGAGGACCGCGCUUCGGCAAGGAUGCUGGCGUAAUGGUCACCAGCGACCCGUCUUGAAACACGGACCAAGGAGUCAAGCAUUGGGGCGAGUGUAUGGGUGCCAAACCCGCACGCGAAAUGAAAGUAAACGCAGGUGAGAGCUUCGGCGCAUCAUCGACCGAUCCUGAUGUCUUCGGAUGGAUUUGAGUAAGAGCCUUACCGCUUGGACCCGAAAGAUGGUGAACUAUGCCUGAAUAGGGUGAAGCCAGAGGAAACUCUGGUGGA